rnacentral:rRNA from 1 species
AGAGCGAACGCUGGCGGCAGGCUUAACACAUGCAAGUCGAGCGCCUGUAGCAAUACAGGAGCGGCAGACGGGAGAGUAACACGUGGGAACGUACCUUUCAGUUCGGAACAACCAAGGGAAACUUUGGCUAAUGCCGAAUACGCCCGUAAGGGGAAAGAUUUAUCGCUGAAAGAUCGGCCCGCGUCUGAUUAGCUAGUUGGUGGGUAAUGGCUCACCAAGGCGACGAUCAGUAGCUGGUCUGAGAGGAUGAUCAGCCUCACUGGGACUGAGACACGG